rnacentral:rRNA from 1 species
CCUACGGGUGGCAGCAGUAGGGAAUUUUGCGCAAUGGGCGAAAGCCUGACGCAGCAACACCGCGUGAAUGUUAAACCCUUCGGGGUGUAAAGUUCUGUCAAUAGGGACGAAUUUUGACUGUACCUAUAAAAGAAGCACCGGCUAACUCCGUGCCAGCAGCCGCGGUAAUACGGGGGGUGCAAGCGUUGUCCGGAAUCAUUGGGCGAAAGGCGUUCGUAGGCGGCAAGGUAGGCCUGAUGUUAAAGCCCGGGGCUAAACUCCGGUUCGGCAUUGGAUACUAGGGAGCUAGAAGGUGGUAGGGGUAAAGGGAAUGCAUGGGGUAGCGGUGAAAUGCGUAGAUAACAGGAGGAACAUAGGUGGCGAAAGCGCUCUAUUG